rnacentral:rRNA from 1 species
GGUGUCGCUGAUGGAUGGACCCGCGGUGCAUUAGCUAGUUGGUGAGGUAACGGCUCACCAAGGCCACGAUGCAUAGCCGACCUGAGAGGGUGAUCGGCCACAUUGGGACUGAGACACGGCCCAAACUCCUACGGGAGGCAGCAGUAGGGAAUCUUCGGCAAUGGACGAAAGUCUGACCGAGCAACGCCGCGUGAGUGAAGAAGGUUUUCGGAUCGUAAAACUCUGUUGUUAGAGAAGAACAAGGAUGAGAGUAACUGUUCAUCCCUUGACGGUAUCUAACCAGAAAGCCACGGCUAACUACGUGCCAGCAGCCGCGGUAAUACGUAGGUGGCAAGCGUUGUCCGGAUUUAUUGGGCGUAAAGCGAGCGCAGGCGGUUUCUUAAGUCUGAUGUGAAAGCCCCCGGCUCAACCGGGGAGGGUCAUUGGAAACUGGGAGACUUGAGUGCAGAAGAGGAGAGUGGAAUUCCAUGUGUAGCGGUGAAAUGCGUAGAUAUAUGGAGGAACACCAGUGGCGAAGGCGGCUCUCUGGUCUGUAACUGACGCUGAGGCUCGAAAGCGUGGGGAGCAAACAGGAUUAGAUACCCUGGUAGUCCACGCCGUAAACGAUGAGUGCUAAGUGUUGGAGGGUUUCCGCCCUUCAGUGCUGCAGCUAACGCAUUAAGCACUCCGCCUGGGGAGUACGACCGCAAGGUUGAAACUCAAAGGAAUUGACGGGGGCCCGCACAAGCGGUGGAGCAUGUGGUUUAAUUCGAAGCAACGCGAAGAACCUUACCAGGUCUUGACAUCCUUUGACCACUCUAGAGAUAGAGCUUCCCCUUCGGGGGCAAAGUGACAGGUGGUGCAUGGUUGUCGUCAGCUCGUGUCGUGAGAUGUUGGGUUAAGUCCCGCAACGAGCGCAACCCUUAUUGUUAGUUGCCAUCAUUCAGUUGGGCACUCUAGCAAGACUGCCGGUGACAAACCGGAGGAAGGUGGGGAUGACGUCAAAUCAUCAUGCCCCUUAUGACCUGGGCUACACACGUGCUACAAUGGGAAGUACAACGAGUUGCGAAGUCGCGAGGCUAAGCUAAUCUCUUAAAGCUUCUCUCAGUUCGGAUUGCAGGCUGCAACUCGCCUGCAUGAAGCCGGAAUCGCUAGUAAUCGCGGAUCAGCACGCCGCGGUGAAUACGUUCCCGGGCCUUGUACACACCGCCCGUCACACCACGAGAGUUUGUAACACCCGAAGUCGGUGAGGUAACCUUUUUGGAGCCAGCCGCCUAAGGUGGGAUAGAUGAUUGGGGUGAAGUCGUAACAAGGUAGCCGUAUCGGAAGGGGCGGCUGGAUCACCU